CCCAUUCUUUUCCCUCAUUGGUACCCAUCCUUUUCGAUCUCUAUCUCGCAGAAGCCUUUCUUCCUUGUGAAAGUGUUGCUCAUCGUGGAAGGAGAGAAGGAUGAAAAAUGGGGCUCUUCCAUUUGCUUCCAGAACAGAUUUCUCAAGCUCUCUCACUUAAGCCGCGAACUCCUGGCCUCCGUAAGAAGAAAAGCUUGGCUCCCGUUCUGAUUUGAGGAGAUUUUAAACCCAUAAAAGCUUGGGUUUCCAGCUUUGAAGAAGAAGAUAACUUCUUUCACUGCAAGGACUUUAGACCUCUGAUCUUCUGGCCUUCACGCAAUCUAGAUCUUCACCGUCAAUCUCACUUGGGCUCUGCAUUUUGUGAAGACAACUUCGUCGCUAAGAUUAAAAUAGAGAUUGUAGUGAGCAAAGACCGGGUAUGAAGAGUCUGAGUUAUAAUUUUAGUUCUUAAUGCAUUCUUUUUGAAGUAUUGAUGCUCAGGGAAGAAGGGUUGAAAAUCACAGAUUGAAUCCUGCUCUCAUCACUACUUAGGUUGAAGCUGUGGUUAACAAAAUAAUUGAAGCAGCCAGGACUGGAGAAAUAUUAUUAUUUUGUGUUGAAAAUGAUGUAUACUGACUGAAUUCAAACUAUGACAUCUUUAUAAGUUAGCUUAUUUUUAGACAAUUGUUUAAUGGCUUUGUACCUUUCCAUUUUGUCACCUUUUGAUGUUCUAAGAGAUACAUAUACCCCUCCAGAGAGAAUCAGAUUCAUUAGUUUACAUUAUAUGUCAUGUUUGUUAAGUGAGAUACCACAGCCAUCUAAAAGUUUUAGUCCACCAUGUUAUGUUUGUUAAUAGGAACCCAGAAGAGUCCCGAAUUCAGUUUCCACUCUGACUGAAGAUGGAACUUGGUGCUAUUAAGCUAUCAUCCUCAGCUUCAGAAUUCAGCUGUUCUGGAUCUGAAGAUGUUGAACUUGAUUGACGGAAAAGGUGAUGUCAGGCCUUGUCCAUGUAAGGAGUUGCAAAACACCAACCAAUGAUAUGAACAUGGUAGGGUCUUGAAGCAAUUCACCAUUGUAAGGAGCAAGUUUAGAAGCACAUGAAGGCGAUGCACAUGGUUUGGAAUCUAGCAUGUUGGCUUUUGUUAGGAGAUCCUCGACAUACUUGGUUUGAACCAAGAAGAGCGUGUCUGCCGAUGAGCUUGAAUACCAAGAAAAAAGUGCAAUGGACCAAGAUUCUUCAUAGCAAACUGAGUACUGAGCUUGUUGAUAAAAAAUUCACAAUGAGAAGAAGAGUUACCUAUAAUCAGAAUAUCAUCAGCAUAAACAAGUAUAAAAGUGAGUGAGUGAUCAACCUUGAUAAAGAGUGAAGGAUCUGCUAUAGAGGAACGGAAUCUGAGAGCUACAAGACUACGAUAGAGCUCCUCAUACCAAGCUUGCGGGGUUGUUUGAAACCAUAUAUAGACUUGUGAAGCUUGCACACAAAAUGAGGUCUGGGAGGAUCUAUGAAGUGUGCCAUGAAGGAAGGCAUUGGAGACAUCCAAUCGAGUAAUCUGCCAAUUGAAUUGGAUAGCUAGAGAUAAAACGAGUCUAAUAGUUGUUGAUUUAGCGACUGGACUGAAUGUUUCAUGGUAGUCAAUACCAUGUUGUUGAAGAAACCCUUUAGCAACAAGUCGUGCUUUAUAUCGA